GGCACUAAGGCCCGGUACUUAGCGGCUGCCCGAGGCCACACAAACCUUACCUCUUCUUCCUCUCUACUCAUCCUCUCUCCCUUAGGGCUCUUUGAAUUGCGCACAUCCUCUCUCCUCCCCUCCACAAAUCUCCCCAAAUCGACACAAAUUCGAGGAGAUUUCGUCUGGAUUGAGUUGGGGAUCACUUGGACAGGUGCAGGGAAAAGAGCAAGUUAAACAGGAUGCAGAGAUAGGGGACAAAGUACAAGUUGAUGACGAUGUCGAGGUACCAGAGCAAGAACUGCCUGCGAACCAUGCGGAGGUACGGGUGGAAGUAUCGGAUCUGGAGGAUGUAAACAGGGCGAUGAACGAUCAGGGCGACGAACCUGAGGACAGGGACAUGAUUUCAUUCAUAAGAGAAUUGCUUCGAAGUAAGGUUUACACCCGUCAAGAGUGCGAGGAGUGUAUGAUAAUUAAUGGAUUAAACCUGGCUUUGUUGGAAUGUUGAUUCAGAGAAUGAAGUGAUACACAGGAUGGCACAGUUUCUGGGGCAGGAGGAUUACUACGAGAAGAAGCACCGGGCUCCCAAGAUAGAGAGCGGGGAGAUUUGGAUGUGGAUGCGCCUACCUGUUCGUCACCCCACUGGAGGAUUCAUCCGGCUUGGCCCCAUCAGGAUCCUGACCGACGACCCACGGAUGCAUUCCUAUGGGAAUUGGUCCCAUCGCCAGUAGUUGGCCAUAGAAAUUUGGCAUACCACCACUACACCACGGACUACCUUCAGCCAGAUCGUUGGUGUGGAGAAUAUGAGGAAUAGUACGUGGUCGAUCUAGAUAUCAAUCCUAUAUGCCGGAUUGAAGAUGAAUUGCAAACACUGUAAUGCCCCCUAAUUUGCUUCUAUGCAGUCGAGUUCCAGCUUUGCCAUCGUGUGAUGCGGCAGUUUGGCAGGCGGCAACAAAUCUUGUACCGUUUCUCGAUGAGUAUCAAUCUCCCCAAGUGUGUAACUCCUAUUUACAAAACAUUUGUCAGAGAAUACAUUGGUAAAAUUAUAACUGAUGUACCAUGUGCAGGGUUUUUCAAA